rnacentral:rRNA from 1 species
AGUGAACGCUGGCGGUAGGCCUAACACAUGCAAGUCGAACGGCAGCACAGUAAGAGCUUGCUCUUACGGGUGGCGAGUGGCGGACGGGUGAGGAAUACAUCGGAAUCUACUUUUUCGUGGGGGAUAACGUAGGGAAACUUACGCUAAUACCGCAUCCGACCUACGGGUGAAAGCAGGGGAUCUUCGGACCUUGCGCGAUUGAAUGAGCCGAUGUCGGAUUAGCUAGUUGGCGGGGUAAAGGCCCACCAAGGCGACGAUCCGUAGCUGGUCUGAGAGGAUGAUCAGCCACACUAGAACUGAGACACGGUCCAGACUCCUACGGGAGGCAGCAGGGGGGAAUAUUGGACAAUGGGCGCAAGCCUGAUCCAGCCAUACCGCGUGGGUGAAGAAGGCCUUCGGGUUGUAAAGCCCUUUUGUUGGGAAAGAAAAGCAGCAGGUUAAUACCCCGCUGUUCUGACGGUACCCAAAGAAUAAGCACCGGCUAACUUCGUG